AACUUUCAACAAUGGAUCUCUUGGCUCUCGCAUCGAUGAAGAACGCAGCGAAAUGCGAUAAGUAAUGGAAAUUGCAGAAUUCAGUGAAUCAUCGAAUCUUUGAACGCACCUUGCGCUCCUUGGUAUUCUGAGGAGCAUGCCUGUUUGAGUUUCAUGAAAUUCUCAACUGCUUUAGCUUUUGUGGUUGAAGUAAAGUUGGAUUUGGAGGAAUAAUUGCUGGCGUAACCUUUUAAGGUUGCUUGUUAGCUCCUCUUAAAUGGAUGAACUUUCCAGUAGUGGAAAAGUAACACCAAUGUGAUAAUUAUCUACGUUGGAUGAACUUGUACAAGGAAAGAUGAAUCUGUCUUGGACCCCCUUGACGAAACAAAUGACAAAUUUGACCUCAAAUCAGGUAGGACUACCCGCUGAACUUAAGCAUAUCAAUAAGCGGAGGCU
rnacentral:misc_RNA from 1 species